rnacentral:rRNA from 1 species
AGAGAGAGACAUGCGCGCAUAUCAAUAAGCGGAGGAAAAGAAACUAACAAGGAUUCCCCUAGUAACGGCGAGUGAAGCGGGAAGAGCUCAAAUUUGAAAUCUUAAAGGGUUUCCCUUUACGAAUUGUAGCUUAAAGAAGUGUUUUCUGUUGAGGUUUUGGUAAAAGUUCUUUGGAAUAGGACAUCAUAGAGGGUGAGAAUCCCGUAUUUGACCUUUACUUUCAACUUUGUGAUACACUUUCAAAGAGUCGGAUUGUUUGGGAAUGCAGUCCAAAAUGGGUGGUAAAUUUCAUCUAAAGCUAAAUAUUGGCGAGGAGACCGAUAGCGAACAAGUACCGUGAGGGAAAGAUGAAAAGAACUUUGAAAAGAGAGUUAAACAGUACGUGAAAUUGUCAAAAGGGAAGCGUUUGACACCAGUGUUGUUUUUCUGAAAAUCAAUUAAAGAACUGUUUAUGCUAAGCUUGUUUAGACUUUAUCAGCUAACUGUUUAGUUUUGAGCUUUUCUUUAAUGCACUUUUCAGUUAACAAGUCAACAUCAAUUUCUUUUGCUGUAAAAAAGCUUGAGGAAGGUGGCUUGAGAUUCGUCUUAAGUGUUUUAUAGCCUCUUGCCUAUGCAGUCGGAGAGAUUGAGGUCUGCAGCGUAGAUCCUUCGGGGCUAAAUGCAUUUGUGCUAAGUUAUAGCCUUUCAUAGACAACUUGUUGACUAUGAUCAGUCAUGUAGCUUACUCGCUUAUGCUAUUUUACCUACGCUUAGGAUGUUGAGCGCAUGUCUCUCUCU